rnacentral:rRNA from 1 species
GACGAACGCUGGCGGCGUGCUUAACACAUGCAAGUCGAACGGAAAGGCCCUGCUUUUGUGGGGUGCUCGAGUGGCGAACGAGUGAGUAACACGUGAGUAACCUGCCCUUGACUUUCGGAUAACUUCAGGAAACUGGGGCUAAUACCGGAUAGGAGCUCCUGCUGCAUGGUGUGGGUUGGAAAGUUUCGGCGGUUGGGGAUGGACUCGCGGCUUGUCAGCUUGUUGGUGGGGUAGUGGCUUACCAAGGCUUUGACGGGUAUCCGGCCUGAGAGGGUGACCGGACACAUUGGGACUGAGAUACGGCCCAGACUCCUACGGGAGGCAGCAGUGGGGAAUAUUGCACAAUGGGCGGAAGCCUGAUGCAGCAACGCCGCGUGCGGGAUGACGGCCUUCGGGUUGUAAACCGCUUUCGCCUGUGACGAAGCGUGAGUGACGGUAAUGGGUAAAGAAGCACCGGCUAACUACGUG